UUGCCACUGUGAACAGUAUGUGUCUGUGGAAGAGCUGUGUGAUGCUGUCUGUCUGUCCCACCUGCCUCUUAUCACAGCCAGUCGCUCUUCAGACAGCCACUUGAUGAUCCGUAUCAACGCAUUAGAUGAAAGCCGGCUCCGGAGUCGAAAAAUGGUCAAUGUUUUGGGACCUGAUAUCCAUGUCAAAGACACUGGAAAGCUCCACUUUGUUCAGUUUGGGCCAGAUGGAGUGUUUGGCUGGAUUUUCACAGACUCUGAUCUUACAGACUCACUUCUGAGAGGUAUUGAUGAUCUGAAGAUUAAACCAUAACAUCCAUAUUUAAAGGAAACCAAAUUAAAACAUUAAUUGUCUUUAUUUACUUUUUUUAAAGAAUUGUUUGAACCGAGUCCCAGAAAGAGAAGAGCUUCUGAUGAUCCUACUGAAGCCAGGAAGCCUGACCUUCUCCCUCGCAUCCCAAACCCACUAGCCUGCAUCAGUACUAAUGACAUGUUGAUAUUUCAGUUCAGCAUCAACUUCACUGAUCGUCUCUCCAGCCACUUUCCAGUUUACCAGAAAGAGCAUUUGUUCAACAGUAACCCCAACUGGGACUUUGGUGCUUUGAGAAAGCUUCAGUAUCUGAUUCAACAAACCAAGUUCAACUCCUCCAGGUACCAGAAAUUGAUGCAUAUGGUCCUGGUGACUGAGGGGAGCUACGGCACAUGAUGUUAGGUGUCAUCAAAUGGACUUCUGCUCUACACCCUCCAGGUUUGCCCAUGUGUUUUCUGAAGCUGGGACCUAUGUGUUUGUGGAUAACGUCGUGCCAGAGUGGAAUCUAAUCGUUGUUGUCCAUGAAAGUGGCACAGGGUGUGACCCUGAGUUAUCCGCAUUUCACCCCGCCUCUCCAGCUAUGGUGGUCCGGCACAGAGUGAUCAGGCAGCGUCAUCUCAAUCUGCUGCCUGACUGGGGUAUUAUCACAGGAAUCCUGGCUCUAGCCCUGGUGCUUGUUGUGGUGCUGACUGUAGUUGCUCUGUUGCUGAAGCCUCACCGUGCACACUUCAUCACCCAGGGCAAACCCAAACCCAAGUGGCGCAGCCUGGGGGAGCCCUUGGCUCCCCUUGAAUAUGUUUACAACAGAGAAAGCCCAUGCAGGCCUGAGCAUCUGAGUUUGAGAGGGGUGGGGGAGGGAGCCGAGGCUGAGGAGCCAUCCAUCUACCGAGGAGGCAGCAAGGCAAUGUACAUGGAACUGGAGGAGUUCAAUGUGAAAACCCUCUAUGAUAAGUUAGAGGAUCAGAACCUCCACCUGGCCUCACAGCUGGCAAAACACCGCAAAGACACUCAGGAGUUCUACAGGAACAUCUGUCACAGGGCCAAUACACUGCAGGUGAUGGCACUCCCAGACAGGCCUGGGGAGCUGAGAUAUGGGGAUCCAGAUAUUUAACAGAUAAGACAUUUCCUUUCACUAGGAAGUUCUACAGAACAUGGAACCCACAAAACUGAAGCAGUUGAAAGAGUCAAAUGACCUGAGGAACAGACACAUUGGCCUGCUCCAGGGAGCAGUGGGGGAGGAGAAGGUGCUGCCUCUGGGCCUGAUGAAAGCCCAGCUCCAAGCUCUGGAGGAUCUAUUAGCCCGACUGAGUCAGGAAAGUCCUGGAGAUAGCAGGGAUUGUGAGUUGCACAUGGUAUGCACUCAGGUGAUGAGACACCCUCCUUCAGGCAAAUCCAGAGACAACUGCAUGUUCCAAUGAAGUCCCCUCUUUUCCGCAGGUCUCCUCUGCAGACAUGGUUGAGCUGCCACUUGGUCGUGAGGUGGAGCCUGACCUCUCUAAUACAGGUUUGGCAGGUUGUGUAACAAACAAAUAAUAAUCCAUUAAAGAUUGAAACCAAGAAACAGUCAUUUCAUAAAGUGAGCUAGAAUUUAUUGAUGUCUUAUAAUCAUCAGUACAGCGAAUAUAUGGCUAAUUAUCCAAAAUAAGAAAGAAAGAAAAAAGUUUUGUGGUUUUGUGAUACACAGCACUUGGUGCACACAACAAAAAGUGUAUUUUGUGUAUUUUGUGAGCAGUGGGCAGGCACCCAGGAAGUGUUGUGUGGGGACUGUACCUUGCUAAAGGGGACUUCAUUGGGUGGUAGUAGCCUAGGGGGUAACACACUCGUUUAUGAACCAGAAGACCCAGGUUCAAAACCCACUUACUACCAUUUUGUCCCUGAGCAAGACACAUAACCCUAAACUGUCCCUGUAACUACUGAUUGUAAGUCGCUGUGGAUAAGGCUGAAAAUUAAGGCUGAAAAUACAAAAACCCAGACAUUGUUACAUAAUUUACAUACAAGCAAUACUACAAUGUUAAGUAUGCUCCCAAUUACUGGGCAGCCUUCAUAGAGGCAAAUAAGUGUCUGAACAAUGCAUUUGAUGAACAAAACAUUUGGAAUGACUAAAAAGAAAA
rnacentral:lncRNA from 1 species